GUUUGAGCUUAACUCGGCAGAGGUUUUGGAUCCUGUCAAUGGGAAUUGGAACCGUAUUUCAAGCAUGGGAACAAAUAUGGCAUCUUAUGAUGCAGCAGUUCUUGAAGGGAAACUUCUUGUGACGGAAGGCUGGUUGUGGCCAUUUUUUGUCUCUCCUAGGGGUCAGGCUUAUGAUCCAAGAACUGAUAGAUGGGAGAAUAUGGCUCUUGGACUGAGAGAAGGCUGGACUGGUUCAAGUGUGGUAGUCUAUGGGAGUUUGUUUGUGGUUUCAGAGCUUGAAAGGAU
rnacentral:misc_RNA from 1 species